CUUCCCCUAAACCCUGGCUUAGCCGGGCCGACUCCGCCCGGGCAACAGUGGUGGGGGUGGAGAGGUUUCUGUCAGAGGUUGAGGCAGCAGUGGGGGGCAGCGGCUUCCCAGAUGUGAGCUAGGAAGCCGAAGCUCCCCGCCAACCGCGGGAGAAGAGUAUAAACAAUCUGCGAGGCUGGGAACCCCGUUCGUAUCCCGGGAAAACCUCUCCCUUCCUGGGGAAGGGGCAGGGAGCAACUUUUACCAGGUUCACUUCAAGGAUGCCAGACCUGGAACCUGGAAGCAUCCACUCUCAGUCAGGCACGCUGCAAGGUUGGGAGGAAACUGCCUUACCUAUGGCUCAUAGCGAUGGCUUCAUUUCAACCCUCUUCUCCCUCAGGGAGGAAGGUGAGGAGGGAUGCUAAAAAACAAUGAUCUGACCCGGACCCUUCCUGUUCAGCAUCAUCCUGGGAGGAAGGAGGAAAGCCAAAGAGAAGAAAGGGGGGGGGAUAGCUAAGAACCAGGCUUCCUUCAUUUUUACAAGUGCCCUGACAUAUGGGUUACUGAAUAAAUCCUGUUUGAAAGCUGUCUUUUUUUUUCUUGGCAGAUUGUAGUGAGUCUGUGUAUCACUUUCUUUGCUCGUCAUACACUCUUGGAGAAGCAGGGUUAUAGUUUUUAGGGUGUGUGUAUGAGUGU